rnacentral:rRNA from 1 species
UACGAAGGGGGCGAGCGUUGUUCGGAAUUACUGGGCGUAAAGGGCGCGCAGGCGGCCUCAGGGGUCAGAUGUGAAAGCCCCGGGCUCAACCUGGGAAUGGCAUUUGAUACUCUGAGGCUGGAGUACGGGAGAGGAGAGUGGAAUUCCCAGUGUAGAGGUGAAAUUCGUAGAUAUUGGGAAGAACACCGGUGGCGAAGGCGGCUCUCUGGACCGUAACUGACGCUGAGGCGCGAAAGCGUGGGGAGCAAACAGG